GACGAACGCUGGCGGCGUGCCUAACACAUGCAAGUCGAACGAGGUCCAAGGGAGCUUGCUCCCUGAAGACCUAGUGGCGAACGGGUGAGUAACACGUGAGAAACCUGCCCUCGAGUGGGGGAAUAACCCGAGGAAACUCGGGCUAAUACCGCAUACGCUCCUCUGGUCGCAUGGCCGGGGGAGGAAAGUAUUUCGCUCGUGGAGGGUCUCGCGGCCUAUCAGCUUGUUGGCGGGGUAACGGCCCACCAAGGCUACGACGGGUAGCUGGUUUGAGAGAACGAUCAGCCACACUGGGACUGAGACACGGCCCAGACUCCUACGGGAGGCUG
rnacentral:rRNA from 1 species